AUGCAAAUCUGUGACCCUCGCGGAGCUCCUGAGAAACUCACCCUGCAUCCGGCUCCUCUGGUCGCAAUUUCGCUCCUCUGCGUCCAGGUGCAUGUCUUCAGCAGGGAGGCUUUCAUACUACGUGCCAUUAUCUUUGUCGCAAUUUCGCUCACUCCCUCUUCAGUCUUCACCUCCGUGAGUCGGACCGACGGGGCCUUGCGUGUCAGGAGUUGCGUAAAUCUGAACACGCUUUCCUUCCCCUGUUUAGAAAAACUCUUCUACUAUUUUUAUGAGCAGCAUAUAUAUGUUUUCAUCACUGACACAUGA
rnacentral:rRNA from 1 species